UACGUAGGGUGCAAGCGUUGUCCGGAAUUAUUGGGCGUGAAGAGCUCGUAGGCGGUUCGUCGCGUCGGCUGUGAAAACCCGGAGCUCAACUCCGGGCCUGCAGUCGAUACGGGCGGACUAGAGUUCGGCAGGGGAGACUGGAAUUCCUGGUGUAGCGGUGAAAUGCGCAGAUAUCAGGAGGAACACCGGUGGCGAAGGCGGGUCUCUGGGCCGAUAUUGACGCUGAGGAGCGAAAGCGUGGGGAGCGAACAGG
rnacentral:rRNA from 1 species